rnacentral:rRNA from 1 species
UACGUAGGGGGCAAGCGUUGUUCGGAAUUACUGGGCGUAAAGGGCGCGUAGGCGGCACGGCAAGUCAGGAGUGAAAGCCCUGGGCUCAACCCGGGAACUGCUUUUGAAACUGCCGAGCUAGAGUGCGGAAGGGGCAACUGGAAUUCCCAGUGUAGCGGUGAAAUGCGUAGAUAUUGGGAGGAACACCAGUGGCGAAGGCGGCUCACUGGACCGGAACUGACGCUGAGGCGCGAAAGCGUGGGGAGCAAACAGG